AUUGAACGCUGGCGGCAGGCCUAACACAUGCAAGUCGAACGAGUGGCGGACGGGUGAGUAAUGUAUGGGGACUGCCCGAUAGAGGGGGAUAACCACUGGAAACGGUGGCUAAUACCGCAUACUAUCGGAUAACCCAUAUGUGAUUAGCUAGUUGGUGGGGUAAAGGCUCACCAAGGCGACGAUCAGUAGCUGGUCUGAGAGGAUGAUCAGCCACACGGGGACUGAGACACGGUCCAGACUCCUACGGAGGCAGCAGUGGGGAAUAUUGGACAAUGGGCGCAAGCCUGAUGCAGCCAUGCCGCGUGUAUGAAGAAGGCCUUAGGGUUGUAAAGUACUUUCAGCAGGGAGGCGUUACCCGAAGAAGAAGCACCGGCUAACUCCGUGCCAGCAGCCGCGGUAAUUC
rnacentral:rRNA from 1 species